rnacentral:rRNA from 1 species
AACGAACGCUGGCGGCAUGCCUAACACAUGCAAGUCGAACGAGACCCUCGGGUCUAGUGGCGCACGGGUGCGUAACGCGUGGGAACCUGCCCUUAGGUUCGGAAUAACUCCCCGAAAGGGGUGCUAAUACCGGAUAAUGUCUUCGGACCAAAGAUUUAUCGCCUUUGGAUGGGCCCGCGUUGGAUUAGCUAGUUGGUAGGGUAAAAGCCUACCAAGGCGACGAUCCAUAGCUGGUCUGAGAGGAUGAUCAGCCACACUGGGACUGAGACACGGCCCAGACUCCUACGGGAGGCAGCAGUGGGGAAUAUUGGACAGUGGGCGAAAGCCUGAUCCAGCAAUGCCGCGUGAGUGAUGAAGGCCUUAGGGUUGUAAAGCUCUUUUACCCGGGAUGAUAAUGACAGUACCGGGAGAAUAAGCUCCGGCUAACUCCGUG